GCCUCUUUUAUCAAGGACUACAAUCUCCUUCCUCAUUUGCCGUGGACAUGACCACAAAACAUUUCCCCAAUAGGUUUUUUCUGCUAUGUUGGUAGCAUAGCAUUCAUCCUACUGGGAACAUUU
rnacentral:snoRNA from 1 species